UGGGGAAUAUUGCACAAUGGGCGAAAGCCUGAUGCAGCAACGCCGCGUGAGUGAUGAAGGCCUUCGGGUUGUAAAGCUCUGUCUUUUGGGACGAUAAUGACGGUACCAAAGGAGGAAGCCACGGCUAACUACGUGCCAGCAGCCGCGGUAAUACGUAGGUGGCAAGCGUUGUCCGGAUUUACUGGGCGUAAAGGAUGCGUAGGCGGAUUUUUAAGUGAGAUGUGAAAACCCUAAGCUUAACUUGGGGACUGCAUUUCAUACUGGAAAUCUAGAGUGCGGGAGAGGAGAAUGGAAUUCCUAGUGUAGCGGUGAAAAUGCGUAGAGAUUAGGAAGAACACCAGUGGCGAAGGCGAUUCUCUGGACCGUAACUGACGCUGAGGCAUGAAAGCGUGGGUAGCAAAACAGGAUUAGAUACCCUGGUAGUCCACGCCGUAAAACGAUGAGUACUAGGUGUAGGAGGUAUCGACCCCUUCUGUGCCGCAGUUAACACAAUAAGUACUCCGCCUGGGAAGUACGAUCGCAAGAUUAAAAACUUAAAUGAAUUGACGGGGUCAUAGCUGUUUCCU
rnacentral:rRNA from 1 species